CAAAAAUACCGGGAAUGCUGGGAUUCAGGAAGGGCUGGGAGGGAAUUCCCAAAAAACACCGGGAAUACUGGGAGUCGGGAAGGGCUGGGAGGCGAUUCCCAAAAAAACCUGGGAAUACUGGGAGGCUGGGAGGGAAUUCCCAAAAAUACCCUGGAAUACUGGGAUUUGGGAAGGACUGGGAGGGGAUUCCCAAAAAAACUGGGAUUCUGGGAUUGUGGAAGGACUGGGAGGGAAUUCCCAAAAAAA